AUAUACAGAAUAAAAAUGGCGGUGUUCAGUGAAGCGAUGUCAUCGUCUCGUUGUGUUUUUACAUAUUUUUCGCGAAAUUAUAAGCACACUGUACUUCAUCCUUGUACGAUUGUAAGGAAUGCACAUUCGGCUAUAAGUGAUAAUUGUGAAAAUUAUGAUAUUAUCGUGACUGGAGGUGGUCUCGUUGGAACAACUCUCGCUUGUGCUUUAGCUAAUAACAAAACUCUUGAAUCCAAGAGCGUCCUUUUGUUGGAGGGUGGUAAUAAACAUAAAUAUGAACCGAGCGAACGGUAUUCCAAUCGGGUCGUUGCGUUAAAUCAGCAAUCUCGAACAUUGUUAUCGAGUAUUGGUGCAUGGCGUCAUGUAGAAGAAGUACGAUAUACGCCUGUGAGAAAAAUGCAGGUGUGGGAUGCCUGUUCCGACGCAAUGAUAACAUUUAACGAGGAUUAUUUGAACAACGAAAUAGCUUACAUAGUUGAAAACGAUUUGCUUCUUCACGCGGUGGACAAGCAACUAUCAGAAAAAGAUUCCGUAAAAGUCGUCUACAAUGCGAAAGUUGAAAAUAUUUCAUUACCUGAAACACCAGGGGAAAAUUCAGCAGUCAUUUUGCAAAAUGGAGGCAACUUUGAAUCAAAACUGUUGAUUGGUGCCGACGGAAUUAAUUCACGAGUACGACAAGCGAUGGGCGUUCAGCAUGUAAAAUGGAACUACGAUCAAAUGGGAAUUGUUGGUACUGUUGAACUAUCCGAGCCAACAGAAAAUAUUGUAGCGUGGCAACGAUUUCUUCCCACCGGACCUGUGGCUCUAUUGCCGUUGACUGAUACAUUAAGUUCCCUUGUCUGGUCAACGACAACAGUCGAAGCGAAAAAACUUCUAAAAAUGUCCGACGAAGACUUUGUCGAUAGGCUGAACGACGCUCUUUGGAAAGUCUAUCCAAAAGAUGGUUUCGUCGAAAGUGGAAUGAAGGCCCUUCAGCAAAUUCUGGAGACUCUUUCCUUGCAAACUGGAGUUUCUAGACAAUUGCAGCCGUCCAUUUCUGGCGUUGUUGAAAAUUCUCGAGCAGCAUUCCCCCUGGGUUUCGGCCAUUCUGUUUAUUAUGCUAAACCAGGAGUUGCAUUGGUGGGAGAUGCGGCCCAUAGAGUUCAUCCCUUAGGAGGUCAAGGUCUAAAUUUAGGUCUGGGCGACGUUACCGUCUUAGUUAAAAUGUUAGCCGAAUCAGUCAGAAAUGGAGCCACCCUCGGCGAUAUGAGUUAUUUAAAAAAAUACGAAACUUCAAGACAGAGGCACAAUGUUCCAACCAUGCUAGCAAUGGAUGCACUUCAUAGAUUAUACAAGGGAACUGCUGCUCCGAUUGUUCUCGCUAGAAGUUUAGGACUUCAGCUUACAAAUGCAAUCUCACCCUUGAAGUCGUUCUGAUCAGUUCUAACGGAAGAUUCCGUUUACCAUCUGCAAAUCAGAAAUCCACUGUACCGACCCAAUUGACUAAUCAAAUUCUAGAAAUAUUUUAACGUCAUUUAGAGGGCUAUGGUUCAUCAUGCCUCUGAUGAUGACAAUAAUAUCUGUCAAUAAAAAUGGAUCCCUGAAUUAGGUAUCAGUACCACAACAGUUUUGAUAUAUUUAUUGCUGUACGAGAAAGUCUCAGUAUGAAUUACAAUUUAUAUGUAAAGAUAGUUUAGAUAUUUCAUAUUGAUAACCGCCAGAAACAUAUGCAAUGUAAUUUUAUUUAAUGUAUAUAAAUUAUUUAUAAAUUUCGAUAUUUUUAGGAUAUAGAAAGUGAAUUUGGCCUUCGAAAUAAAGCACUACUAUUUAAUAGUUA